GCUGGGUGUAGUGGCACACUUUUAGUUCCCACUCCUUGGGAGGCUUGAGUUUAGGAGUUCUAAGCUGCAGGGAGCUAAGCCAAUCAGGUGUCAGCCCAAAGCAUAGCACCAAUAUGGUGAGCCUAUGGAAGCAAGAGGCCACCAGGCUACCUAAGGAGGGGUGAAUAGGCCCAGGUCACAAACAGAACAGGUCAAAACUUCUGUGCUGUUCAGUUGUGGAGUCAUGCCCAUGAGCAGACCUCUCUCAUUCCGGAUACCUACCAU
rnacentral:SRP_RNA from 1 species